GACGAACGCUGGCGGCGUGCCUAAUACAUGCAAGUAGAACGCAGUUGCGAACGGGUGAGUAACGCGUAGGUAACUGCCUCAUAGCGGGGGAUAACUAUUGGCAACGAUAGCUAAUACCGCAUACUGUGCGAUGGACCUGCGUUGUAUUAGCUAGUUGGUGAGGUAAAGGCUCACCAAGGCGACGAUACCUAGCCGACCUGAGCGGGUGAGCGGCAACACUGGGAGUGGGACACGGCACAGACGCCGGCGGGAGGCAGCAGUAGGGAAUCGUCGGCCAUGGGCGGAAGUCUGAGCGAGCAACGCCGCGUGAGUGAAGAAGGUUUGCGGAUGGGAAAGCUCUGUUGUUAGAGAAGCGGUAACUAAACAGAAAGCGACGGCUAACUACGUGCCAGCAGCCGCGGUAAUAC
rnacentral:rRNA from 1 species